UAACAAAACAAUUAUUUUCGCUAUUAUACCAAAUGGUAUAAUUUUUAGUCGAAAUAAAAUAUUUUUAUCAAAUCUAGUUAUUUUUAGGGGCAAUAGCUUAUAUAUCCCUGAAAAAUUUUCGACUUUUUAAUUUAUCCCUCUUAGAAGGCUAAUAUUGAAAAUACCUUUUCUACGUUCCAACCUAUUUCUAAUAUACUCUUAAAGUUAAAAUCUGUUAAUUAACUCUGCUAUUUUUGUAAAAUUACUAUUUUACCCUUUCAAAUAUACCAUUCCACCCUCACUGACUUUCUUAUUUGCCCUUAAAGUCAGGGGCACAAAAAGUAUUUUGACUUUUGGUCUUUUUUAAUAUACCCCUCUACCGUCACCAACAUUUCUUAUUUGCCCUUACGUUAAGGACAAAAAUGACAUUUUAAUUUUUUUUAACUGUGGUAGAUGUUUAACUCAUGUUUAACCCAAGUUAACUUCGGUGGAACAUAUGAGGGGUAUUUUAGAAAGAAAAAAAAAUAGAGCUAAAUCGAAUGUUUUCAAACGUAUGAGAGGUAUAUAAGCAAUUAUCCCUUAUUUUUACUAUUUGUUUUGGUAAGAUAUCAAUAAACUUUAUAU
rnacentral:lncRNA from 1 species